rnacentral:rRNA from 1 species
AGGGAAAGGUGAAAAGUACUCCAGCGAGGAGAGUGAAAUAGAACCUGAAACCAUUAGCUUACAAUCAUUCAGAGCCCUAUGAUUUAUCAGGGUGAUGGACUGCCUUUUGCAUAAUGAGCCUGCGAGUUGUGGUAUCUGGCAAGGUUAAGUCAAGUACGAAGCCGUAGCGAAAGCGAGUCUUAAUAGGGCGAAUUAGUCAGAUGCUGCAGACCCGAAACGAAGUGAUCUAUCCAUGAGCAGGUUGAAGCUGGUGUAAGAGCCAGUGGAGGACCGAACCCGCAGGCGUUGAAAAGUCUUGGGAUGACUUGUGGAUAGGGGUGAAAGGCCAAUCAAACUUCGUGAUAGCUGGUUCUCUCCGAAAUAUAUUUAGGUAUAGCCUUGUGUUGUAGCAUAUGGGGGUAGAGCACUGAAUGGGCUAGGGCUGCUUACCGCGGUACCAAACCCUAUCAAACUAUGAAUACUAUAUGUGGAAUCACAGGAGUCAGGCGGUGGGUGAUAAAAUCAAUCGUCGAGAGGGGAACAACCCAGACUAACAGCUAAGGUCCCUAAGUUACAUCUAAGUGGAAAACGAUGUGGAGUUACUGUGACAACCAGGAGGUUGGCUUAGAAGCAGCCAUCCUUUAAAGAAAGCGUAACAGCUCACUGGUCUAGUGAUUCUGCGCGGAAAAUAUAACGGGGCUAAGAUGUACACCGAAGCUUUAGAUUCAAUUUUUAAUUGAGUGGUAGGAGAGCGUUCUAUUCAGCGUAGAAGAUGUACCGGUAAGGAGCGUUGGAGCGGAUAGAAGUGAGCAUGCAGGCAUGAGUAGCGAUAAUUGAGGUGAGAAUCCUCAACGCCGAAAACCCAAGGUUUCCUACGCGAUGCUCGUCAUCGUAGGG